rnacentral:rRNA from 1 species
AAUCAACGCUGGCGGCGUGCCUAACACAUGCAAGUCGAACGCGAAAGGGGCUUCGGUCCUGAGUAGAGUGGCGUCCGGGUGAGUAACGCGUGGGUAAUCUACCUUUGGGUGGGGAAUAACUAGUCGAAAGGCUAGCUAAUACCGCAUAAUGCAAUUUUCUACUAGAAUUUUGUUAAAGCAGUAAUGUGCCUAAAGAUGAGCCUGCGUCUGAUUAGUUUGUUGGUAGGGUAAUGGCCUACCAAGACUACUAUCAGUAGCUGGUCUGAGAGGACGGCCAGCCACAAUGGCACUGAAACACGGGCCAUACUCCUACGGGAGGCAGCAGUGGGGAAUUUUGCGCAAUGAGCGAAAGCUUGACGCAGCAACGCCGCGUGAAGGAUGAAAUCCUUCGGGAUGUAAACUUCGCAAGUAUGGGAAGAAAAAAUGACGGUACCAUAUGUAAGCCCCGGCUAACUCCGUG